rnacentral:rRNA from 1 species
UUUCGCAAUGCCCGAAAGGGUGACGAAGCGACGCCGCGUGAGCGAAGAAGGCCUUCGGGUUGUAAAGCUCUGUCAGGGGUUAUGAAACGUAAACUGGCUAAUACCUGGUUUAUUUGACAAAGGCCCCAAAGGAAGCCACGGCUAACUCUGUGCCAGCAGCCGCGGUAAUACAGAGGUGGCAAGCGUUGUUCGGUAUUAUUGGGCGUAAAGAGCACGUAGGUGGUUUUGUAAGUCAGAUGUGAAAGCCUUCUGUUCAAAGGAAGAACGGCAUCUGAAACUGCGGAUCUUGAGUGUAGGAGGGGAGAGUGGAACUUCUGGUGGAGCGGUGAAAUGCGUAGAUAUCAGAAGGAACGUCGGCGGCGAAAGCGACUCUCUGGCCUAUUACUGACACUGAGUGUGCGAAAGUUAGGGGAGCAAACGGGAUUAGAUACCCCGGUAGUCCUAACCGUAAACGAUGGGCACUAAGUAGAGGGGUUUUA